rfam:Ipomoea nil DNA, scaffold: scaffold1895, cultivar: Tokyo-kokei standard.
GUUGUUGUAGUAUAGUGGUGAGUAUUCCCGCCCGUCACGCAGGUGACCCGGGUUCGAUCCCCUUCAACGGCG